rnacentral:tRNA from 1 species
GCGUGGACAGGUCGGCAAGGCCGUUGCCGCCAGGCGUCAGCGCCGAGAGCGGCUCGUGCCGCAGCGC